CUUGCGUCACCAUGGCCUCCGCCCUAGAACCCCCCCUCCCCCCCGCCACCUCUCAUCCGCCCCCUCCUCGUAUCGCCACGGCCUUCGCCCUGGAGUCCCGCCGCCGCCUGCUAUUCCUCCUCCACCAUGCUAGCCCCUCUACCUCGUCUUCCUUCUCUUCGUUGUUGGUUCCAGAUCGAGCGCGGGUUAGGCGAGCCCGGUGGUGGGGUGAAGGGGCAGGGGAAGAGGAGGUGGGCGACUAGGUGAAGGAGCAGGUCGGCCCUUCUGGAGGCGGCACCGCCGCCCAGCCAGGGAGGAGGCCAGGCUCGCCUCUGUUUUGCCCUGAGCGGCGGCAGCGCCUAUGCCUCCACCCCACCUUCUUUUCCAUGCCUCUUCCUUGGCAUGACAGGCAGAUUUUGGGGAUGGGGAGACCCCAUGAAUAAUAAUUCAAGUGGACGGCCGAUGCGCCUUGUUGUUUAGCGGUAUGAUCUAUGAUGGUCGGCGAAAGUAUGUUCUAUAUUGCAAGAUGAUUGCCGCUGAUGUCAAGCCUCUCGAGAUCUGAGAGCCUCCUCCAACUUCCCCUCCCCACCAAGGAUGACGUAGUAACCGCAUGCAGAAUUAACUACAACUUGAGUAGAUGCACAUUAUUCACUUCAUAUUCCAAUGGUUUUACUUCCACAUCACAGGUACUUAGACAUAGUGAAAGCAAAGACCGAAAGGUUUCGAUUUAGAUGAUUUGGAGGUGCCUUAUCCAUCUUUUUACCUCCAGGUCAAAAUUAAGCAGAUGUUUUAUUGCUAAAGGACAUGCUCUUACUAUCUGAGAUGGAUGAUGAUGCGUGGUACAACCGAAAAUUCAGAGUUGGGCUUUACACACUUCAGUGGGCAAGUGAAUUCCCAGUUUUUCUUCUUUCCCCUGUUUUUGAUAGAAAGACUAUAGGGGAACCCCCUACAGUAUAAUUGGUGCAACAAACCCAACUUGCAAGUACCAUGCCUUGAACCUGGGUGGGUGGGAAGGCAUCAGCCCCUUCCCACCACUAGGCUAUGCCUUAGUCUGCUUCUUCUUUCCCCUGUUACUUCUCUAUUGUACAAAGAGCAAUGAGUUUAUAUUAGCUGAAUCCUGAAUGUUAGAUUGGAAUUCAAGAGUAGCAUCACAACACGGGGGUGGAGACCUGAAGCGAAGCAGAGGGGCGGCGAACGAAGGAAAUCAGAGUCGCGCUAUUUCUAUAUCAUAAUUCCGCGCUCUUAUUUUUUUUUACAUAUUUACAAUCUUGUGUUCUGAAUAAUUCAUGUGGCUUGACAAGAUAGAGUGGAGGAUCAAGGAAUGAAAUCAGAACAUUUUUCUAUUUAAAUAUAUCCAAAGGAUGAUAAUUGGUCGUGUCAAGAUGAGUGCAUGAGAAGGAUUGUGAAAAAGAAAGGUGAAAAGGGUUCUGAGUAUUCUUUCCUCACUUUCCAUGACAUGAAUAUGUCCUUUAGUUCUUGUUAUUCAUAUUAAAGAAAGCGAAAAGUAAUAAUUAUGCAUAUUUUGAAAAUUUGUGUUCUACAGUUCAAUCAAUGAGACCAUAAUUUAGUGGCGAAGCAUAUUAAACAGUACAGAUGUUGCCCACACAUGAGCGCCCAUGGGGAAGCCCAGAUCCAUCAUGUCACUUUGCGUGGAAAGCGGUUCAAUUCUCUAUUUUCCAUGUAUAUAGAGUAUCAUGCUUCCACUAUAGUGCUCAUAGAUCUUGUAUGUGUAUCUUCGCAAGGAUUUUUUUUUUACCGGAAUAACAUGUUAGGGCACGACUAUUCUAAGUUUAACAUGUUAUGUAUGCGGACGCACAAUAAUAACAAAAGAUAUGGUUUAGUCAUGCAGUUGACUACUAAUCACAAAAAGAGUUAGGGACAAGUUUACUAUUGUGAUUUUCAGCAACCGGAAUAGAAGCAGAGUUAACUAAUGAUUUUAAGCUACACUUUAGCCUUGUUCUGAUAACUAGAGCUGCCAUGAUAUUGCUCUAUUAUAAGUGCCUUGCUUACACCAGUUGAAAUAACGCAUGGUUGUCUUUUCUUUUGUUUGCACUGUAGGCAAUGUGUGGUAGAAGCUGUAACAAUGUAGAGUCCUGUAUAUUUUUUAAAUUCAUAAUUGGCAGUGUCAAUUUGUCAUGUGUGAUGCGACAUGAAUCAUAGUGAGCUUAUUUCUUUGCACACUUGGUGUAUCCUCUUAACAUCUUCUAUAUAGGUCGUAGAAUGGAAAGAUCAGUAUGGUGGUACUGUAUUGAAUCAAUUACAUAGGCUUGGAGCCUCCCUUGAUUGGACCCAUGAGAUAAACUUCUUAUUUUCCUUAGUUAAGAAAAAUAGUGAAAACAAUGUAUUGUCUAUAGUUCCAAUUCCUAAUGUGAACUUAAUGUCAGCCUUGUGCGUCAGUGCUUUACAAUGGACGAGAAAAGGUCAAAAGCUGUAACUUGAGCUUUUGUCAGGUUGUAUAAAGAUGGCCUUAUUUAUAAGUUAGUAUCCUCGCCUUUCGUUGUGCCUGUUAAGUAAUUCUAUGGUGCUUUACUUCUAAAAAAUUAUAUUCUUCAUCAUGUCUUUGAAUUGUCAGCCUAUCAUUUUUGUUUUUCUUGUGGAUGUUUUGAUCAUUUGCUGGGAUUAUCGCCUUGUGAAUUGGGAUUGCAUGCUUCUAACUGUGAUUUCUGCCAGACAGUUUGAUCUUGCAUGCAUGACUAAUGUCAUUUUAUUUGUUUGAAUAUGCUGUUUUAUUAGGUUGAUCAUCUGGGUCUUAAAUAAGAAACUAAGCUAAAUUAAGGUUCCUGGUUACAGCACGCACAAUUUGGUGUCCUGAUAUCCUUUGUGUAUCCUCUUGAAGGAGGAUUGGGUGAGAUUGUUGUUGCGACAAGAAUUGGUACUAGGCUGGGUGAUACAACAAUAGAUUUCAUCCAAGGAAUAACCAAUUUAAA